CCCUUAGAUGUUCGGGGCCGCACGCGCGCUACACUGAAGGAAUCAGCACGUCUUUCUCCUUGUCCGAAAGGACUGGGUAACCCGCUGAACCUCCUUCGUGCUAGGGAUUGGGGCUUGUAAUUCUUCCCCAUGAGCGAGGAAUUCCCAGUAAGCGCGAGUCAUAAGCUCGCGUUGAUUACGUCCCUGCCCUUUGUACACACCGCCCGUCGCUACUACCGAUUGGAUGGUUUAGUGAGAUCCUCGGAUUGGUCCCGGAGCGGCCUCUGGUCGUGCCGGAGUGCCGAAAAGAAUGUCGAACUUGAUCAUCUAGAGGAAGUAAAAGUCGUAACA
rnacentral:rRNA from 1 species